rnacentral:rRNA from 1 species
GAUGAACGCUGGCGGCGUGCCUAAUACAUGCAAGUCGAGCGAACAGACGAGGAGCUUGCUCCUCUGACGUUAGCGGCGGACGGGUGAGUAACACGUGGAUAACCUACCUAUAAGACUGGGAUAACUUCGGGAAACCGGAUCUAAUACCGGAUAAUAUAUUGAACCGCAUGGUUCAAUAGUGAAAGACGGUUUUGCUGUCACUUAUAGAUGGAUCCGCGCCGCAUUAGCUAGUUGGUAAGGUAACGGCUUACCAAGGCGACGAUGCGUAGCCGACCUGAGAGGGUGAUCGGCCACACUGGAACUGAGACACGGUCCAGACUCCUACGGGAGGCAGCAGUAGGGAAUCUUCCGCAAUGGGCGAAAGCCUGACGGAGCAACGCCGCGUGAGUGAUGAAGGUCUUCGGAUCGUAAAACUCUGUUAUUAGGGAAGAACAAAUGUGUAAGUAACUCUGCACGUCUUGACGUUACCUAAUCAGAAAGCCACGGCUAACUACGUG